rfam:Ipomoea nil DNA, scaffold: scaffold1947, cultivar: Tokyo-kokei standard.
GGAUGCGAUCAUACCAGCACUAAUGCACCGGAUCCCAUCAGAACUCCGAAGUUAAGCGUGCUUGGGCGAGAGUAGUACUAGGAUGGGUGACCCUGGAAGUCCUCGUGUUGCAUCCC